GUGUCAGCCGCCGCGGUAAUACAGGGGGUGCAAACGUUGCUCGGAAUUAUUGGGCGUAAAGCGCGCGUAGGCGGUGACUCAAGUCGGAUGUGAAAGCCCUUGGCUUAACCGAGGAAGUGCAUCCGAAACUGAGUCGCUAGAGUACGAUAGAGGGUCGCGGAAUUCCCGGUGUAGAGGUGAAAUUCGUAGAUAUCGGGAGGAACACCGGUGGCGAAGGCGGCGACCUGGGUCGAUACUGACGCUGAGGCGCGAAAGCGUGGGGAGCAAACAGGAUUAGAAACCCGCGUAGUCC
rnacentral:rRNA from 1 species